rnacentral:sRNA from 1 species
ACAUUUGCAGGGAUUAGGAAAGUUGUAUGACUGCCCCAGGUGGACCCUGUAGCUAAGAAAGACAUCACCUUAGCAACUACUUUUGGAUGAAGGUACGCUGGCAGGUGGAACGAGGUUGUUGAAGUAACGGCUCUGCUUCCCUCCGCAGUUGCUGGCUGUCGUUGGCGAGUGGCGCCAUCUGGGCCUUUGUAGCCCCUGCCCUGUUUGUCAUCGUGGUCAACAUUGGCAUCCUCAUCGCUGUGACCAGAGUCAUCUCACAGAUCAGCGCCGACAACUACAAGAUCCAUGGAGACCCCAGUGCCUUCAAGUUGACGGCCAAGGCAGUGGCCGUGCUGCUGCCCAUCCUGGGCACCUCGUGGGUCUUUGGCGUGCUUGCUGUCAAUGGUUGUGCUGUGGUUUUCCAGUACAUGUUCGCCACGCUCAACUCCCUGCAGGGACUGUUCAUAUUCCUCUUUCAUUGUCUCCUGAAUUCAGAGGUAUGUCCGCUCUACUCCUGGCAGUGUGCAGCUGGCUUUUCCUUUCUGAAAGGUCACAGGAGCAGGAAUAGCGUUGCCCGGUC